AGUGAACGCUGGCGGUAGGCCUAACACAUGCAAGUCGAACGGCAGCACAGUAAGAGCUUGCUCUUACGGGUGGCGAGUGGCGGACGGGUGAGGAAUACAUCGGAAUCUACUUUUUCGUGGGGGAUAACGUAGGGAAACUUACGCUAAUACCGCAUACGACCUACGGGUGAAAGCAGGGGAUCUUCGGACCUUGCGCGAUUGAAUGAGCCGAUGUCGGAUUAGCUAGUUGGCGGGGUAACGGCCCACCAAGGCGACGAUCCGUAGCUGGUCUGAGAGGAUGAUCAGCCACACUGGAACUGAGACACGGUCCAGACUCCUACGGGAGGCAGCAGUGGGGAAUAUUGGACAAUGGGCGCAAGCCUGAUCCAGCCAUACCGCGUGAGUGAAGAAGGCCUUCGGGUUGUAAAGCCCUUUUGUUGGGAAAGAAAAGCAGCAGGUUAAUACCCCGCUGUUCUGACGGUACCCAAAGAAUAAGCACCGGCUAACUUCGUG
rnacentral:rRNA from 1 species